rnacentral:lncRNA from 1 species
CUUAAAAUGGUUGGAAAAAGUUCAGGCUGGACAAGGAAAAAUAUGGAAUUAGACACAUUAUGGUGCAUUUUCUUCAUGUGUGCAUAGUCACCCGCAAUUAGAAGGAAACUAAGAUAUCAAUUACUCCAUUUCCUGAAUUGAUAUCUUAGUUCAAUUUCAGUGCUACACAUUGCCAAAACUGUCGGUCGCCAACUGACAGAAAGACAACAGCUUAAUUUCAUUUCAAUUUCAGUUCCUACCGACAUUCACAUAGAAAAUUACUUAAAAUGGUUGGAAAUUUUUUCUUCAUGUGUGCAUAGUCACCCGCAAUUAGAAGGAAACUAAGAUAUCAAUUACUCCAUUUCCUUGAUAUCUUAGUUCAAUUUCAGUGCUAUACAUUGCCAGAAUUGUCGGUCGCCGACUGACAGAAAGGCAACAGCUUAAUUUCACCUCAAUUUCAGUUCGUACCGACAGUCACAUAGACAAUUACUUAAAAUGGUUGAAAAAAGUUCAGGCUGGACCAGGCAAAAUAUGGCAUUCGCCACAUUAUGGUGCAUUUUCUUCAGGUAUGCAUAGUCACCCACAAUUAUAAGGGAGCUAAGAUACCAAUUCUUUCGUAACAGGCAGCUCAUCUCUUUCCAUUUCCUGAAUAACUGAGCUCAACCAAUACUACAGUAAACAAAACCAUGACAAUUCACAGCAGCACCAAACCAAAUUUCGAUCCUAGCCGGCCCUAAUCUUCUCCUCAUUGUCUUCAUCCAGAACGACGGGUCUGCACAGUCACCUGCCGCUGGCGCCUUGACCACCAUCUGCACCACCUCGUUGUCGUCCUCUAGCGCCACCAACGUCUUCGUCCAAAACGAUGCGACAAACUAGCCUUGAGGAGCCUUGUUGAUGUAGGGUGGAACCCUAGGGGCCGACUUUCAUGAUUUGGAGGGGGGAAUUCCUGAAGAACACGACAAACACACGAGGGAGAACACGAGGGGAAACAAGAGGAAACACUUAAAUCAACGAGAAACGAUCACACAUGUGCUAGAUCCAUGAACACAAAGAGAGAUACAUGAUUCAAAUACAACAAAGGGGGAUACGAAGGUCACAAGUUCAUCUCCUAGAAGGAGGUCUUGAAUCCACUAGAGGAUCUUCUCCAUGAAGAGGUCUUGAAUCCACUUGAGGGAUCUUCUCCUAGAUGGAGGGCUUGGCCUCCAAUGGAGUAGGUAUCAAGUGGAUGAGUAAAGCUCUAUCUCUCAUAUGAGCUAAACUAAUGCUAACCCUAGAAAAGUGGAGGUGAAGUCGUAUAUAUAGUCUAGGGGGUCGAAGGGGUACAUGGGCCUCAGCCCUAGUCAUUGUGCG